rnacentral:lncRNA from 1 species
CUGCUCCAGCAUAGCUGAUAUCCAUGGGUACCCGUUAGUUGUAGCACGACGUUGUCUCAAAAAAGAAGUGGCAGCACAACGACUAUAUCUUGCUAAUAGCGAGUCUAUGGGGGGAAUUCCUAUUUGCCGCACAUUGCGCUAAAUUGUCGGGGCGCCGCACACCCUUCGCUCGUAUUUGAGCCAGCCCUUAUAAGGUGUUCUAUUUCUACGACUCCGCGGGAUCCCCUCGACCACCGCUCCUCUUUCCUUCCUUCCUCGUGUGACUAGCUGCUUCUUCUUCUAGAUUGGACUACUUGUUCCUCUCGAUUCACCGUCAAUCCUUGCUCCUUUGUGGCUCUCGGGGCGGUAGGUGCUCUCACUCUUCUUCUUCUCCUCAUCCCUUCGUCAUCUCUCUCGGGUAGUAGCUAGGGUCUGCUGAUCUUUUUUUGUUGGCAGAUGGUGAUUCCUGUCUAAUUUGUGAAGCAAUAGCACUUCAAUUUGGCGGUUCUUGCUCCAGGUUCGUCAGAUCCAAUGCCCCCUAGUGUUUUCUUGUUUUUCUUCAAGUUCCCUAGGUAGUUCAAUUAUGUUGGGAUUUGUGUUUACCGUCUUUAUCUACAGGCUUAGGUUAGAUCUUGCAGUUUGUGGUUGUUCGUAAUCUACACAGAGUGAAGGUAAGUAAUUUGACUGUUUUUAUGUUCUGGUGCUUGUUAGUUUUGUAUAUAUGCUUUUUUAUUUCUCAACAGAAUGCUUUUUUAUAAUGCUUUAAUUCCCAGUUCACAGAUUCUGCAGUGCUUGGUAACAAAAAAAUCACAUGCAACAAAUAAUAGGGUUAAUUGGAUCUAUGCUGAUGAGGACAUGACUACCUUGGAUAUGACCAAAAAUAUUGCAUAUAUGCAUAUUUGUCAGGUGAUUUCUAGUGCAAACUAUUCAAUAAUCUAUUUAUGUUAUCCAGAACAAAAAUACUUCACACACUUUUGUGUUUUGUCUAAUUGCAGGUGUAUGGGACAUUUGUACAAUCCACAUAUGAAGAUAAGGAAGAAAGAGAUGUUUAUUUGCUGUCCAAAAAGUUCUCUCACGUCACUUUUGGCCCAAGAGAAGUUAGAGUCCAAGUCUCUCACGUUCUGGAUUCAGAUUCGGACUGCACAGACACACCUGACUCAAAACGCACACAAGUUUUUCAUACGGACUCCGAAUUGGGUGAUUCUUUUUUUGUUGGAAACUAGAUUUCGUGCACUUUCCAACCCAAUUAGAAUCACCUUCAAAUUCGUCCGGAGCGUUGAGUUGUGGACGAAACAAUCUGAUGCUGCAGCAGAAUCCGAGUCAAACUACAAGUCCAAAGGUGUUACAUCACCUCCACUUGGGCCCAUUGGCCUUGUACGACCUAGAUUUAGUUUUAGGCUGCCUUGGGACGUCCUCCCACCUCCUUGGCCUCCACCCCUUGCUCCUAUAUAAGUAGAUCCAUCUAGUAGCUUUUCCUUGGGUUUUGUUUAGAUUAAAGGUUCGCCAUAGCUGCAACUUCGCGUACUUCGUUUGUGUUCAACGACCAGACAAAGGCGUCACAGAACCCCACCUUGAUCAAUAAAGCUUUCAUCUUAUAUUCGCAAUAUCCAGAUUGCAAUCUCAGUUUCUUGCUUGUUCUUCGUUUGCUCGCAGGAAACAAACCCUCGUGGUCAGGUUGAUCGUGCUCCGGCGUGGUCAAUAACCUCUCGGAGUUGGUUUAGCGAUUGCUAAGGCGCGACGUCCUCGCACGUUCGUAGUCGGAUCGUCAAAGUCGACUGCCACCAAAGCGAUAUCCAUCAUCUCAUCGAAAGACGAGACACCUUUGCCUCUAUCAAGUGGUAUCAGUUUUAAGGUUGCUCGGUGAGAAUUUCCAGUUUUUCUUAGAUUAGAUUUAUUUUCUUACCUAUUGUCCAAGAAAAAGCCACAAAAAAAGUUAGAUCUGUUCAUCCUUUAUCCAAGCCAGUCUGAGCCUUUGCAAUUUUCUAUUCAUUGCUUGCAUAGUUGAAUUAUCGGUUGCAUCGUCGUGUCAGUUGCUGGUCUUUGUGUCUAGUUCCUUUAGAGUUUUGAGUUCUGUUCACAUUAGUCACGCCGCCGCUGCAUCAUUAUCCGUUCCGCUGUCCACCAUCCCAUCUAUUAAUUUCCACCACGUGCUAUGCACUGUUCAUUGUUAUAAUCAUAGUUGAGGUCAUUCACAUCUUCGCCUGAUCCAAUCUGCAUCUUAUCUAGUUUGUCUUGGAAAGAGGGAGAAAAAAAAGAUAGAGAAAAAAAAGAGAAAAAAAAGGAAAGAAAAAGAGAGAGAAGAAAAAAAAAGCGUGAGAAAAAAAAAGAGAAGAAAAAAAUUGGAUCUAUCUAGAAUCAAUCUCGUACCUGAAUUCGGAUUAGAAUCUGUUUUGCGCACUGUUCAGUAAAACAGGUGUAUCUUCCUCAUAUGAAGUCCGUUUUGGCUCCGUGAGUACUCAAAUUGAAGAUAGCGACGAGCCGCAUCUAAAUAGUUGCAGAAGCUAGUUUAAUAUUUGACACCUCAAAAUCGGCUUCUAAAUAGGUCUUUUUGCCCUCCGAAGUUCGUGAACACAGCUUGUUCCAAUUUUUCAGGCUAGUUUUAGAAUUCUUUGACUCCUCAUAUCAACUCGGAAUUGAGUGAUUCUUUUUGCAUUGGAAAGCUUGAGUUAGUAGCAUUCUUUGAAAGAAUUUAUCAGAAAAUUGUCUCAAACUUUUCAAGAGGAAAGUUGGAGAGAGAGUUGUUGUAUUGCUUGGCAGUUGUUUUUCAUCAUUAUCUUCACUGUCGUUGUGAUCUUCACUUAUAUCUUGCUGUCAAGAGCUACUUAGUAUCCUUCAUUGAUGCUAGUUGUGCUAUGCCGUGACCUCAUUAGUGUUCUAGGCUCGCGUCUCUAGUCCGGUCUAGCCUAGGACCAGCACAGUACCGUCGUUGAACGUUUAUUCAACAUUGCAUCUUUGAAUUGAUUAUUGCUAAUUUUUUGCUACCAUAUAUAGCCAACCCAGCUCCACAUAUUUCUACACCGUGUAUACGUACGCUCCCUUGUCAAUCGCUUUACUCAAUAUUCGAAGUUACUUGACACCGCUGGUUGCCGAUCACCGCCUGCUGCAUGGUAAGAACUUGUAAGACAUUGAUAUUUGCUUUACUGUGAGCGUUUUACCACCACAUCCUAGUAGUUAUAGGAACAUUAUUUUUGGGUUUUGUUUCUUGUUCUACUAAUCAUGACAGGAUCCAGAGUCAAUUCAUGGGCUUUGUCGAUCGCGGGAGACGUGCCACCACCUUUGCAAAUACCACAACCGUCACGAGAGGUGCACAAACAUCCAAAUGCACAUGAUCAGGUUAAUGUAUCUAUACCACCAUUUAAUGGCCAUUUUAAACCUGCUUUAUAUAUUGAAUGGGAGUUCGACAUAAAAAAUAUAUUUGCUUCCCAUAAUUUCGAUGAACAUAAAAAUGUUAAGGUUGCGGUUGGUUUUUUCACUGGUUAUGCUUUGAUUUGGUGGAGUGAAUAUUGUCAGUUACACCCUGAUUAUAUACCUACUACUUGGGAUGAUUUGAAACUUGCCAUGCGACAUACUUUCGUCCCUACUUAUUAUACUCGUAACAUGAUUAAGAAGUUGCAACACUUAAAACAAGGUAGUGAAACUGUAACAAAAUAUUAUGAUGAUUUACAAACUACCUUGUUGCAUUCCUCUUUAGAAGAAAGUGAAGAUGAUUUUAUGGAUAGAUUUUGGGGAGGAUUAAACCGUGAUAUUCAAGAGAUACUAAUUCAUGAAGAGUGUUAUCCUAUGGACCAUUUGUUUCAUCUUGCUUGCAAAGCUGAACAGGAAAUAAAACGACGUGUUGGCCACGAGGAGAACAAGCGCACGGUGCACAUUCCAAGAGUUGAUAUGAUUGUUCCUUCAACUACUAUGCAUACUAUGACAACCAUAUCCGUUGUUGUCAGGACUACAUCACCUCCACCAUGUGACACAUCGCCCCCGAGAGUGGCUACAUCAUCUGAGUUGAUCAUAAGAGGUAAUGACAAAGGUACUGAUCUUCCAUCUCUACAUGAGAAUGAUGAAUGCCUUGUCAAUUUGAAUGCACCAUCUGAUGAGCUACCCACUACUUUGAUCACACCACCUAUUUUAGAGGACUACGUUGAUAAUUUGACUUUGCCAUGUGAUCAAACAACUGAAAUACCAACAAUUUUGAGUGCACCCAUUGAAUUAACUAUUGAUGCAAAAGAACCAAUGUUUAAUCAUUUUGAUAUGACCUCUAAUCUUGGUGAUGAUUCUGUGUUGAAUGACUUAUUGCAUGUUUGCUUAUUUAAGCAUGUUGUAGCAUGUAAAUUUGAUGCAAGUAAGGUUUAUUCACCAAUGUUGGGAUGGUUUAAUGAUGAACAUUGUCAAUCUUUUGAAAUGAAUAAGAGCUUCACUUAUAUGUGCAAACUGAGUUGUAAUAUUUUCAUGCCUUCUACUUCUUGUGCUAAUUUUUUGGCUUUAGAUUUUAUGAACUAUGCAAGUUACUCAUCUAUUCAUGUGUCAUAUAUGCAAAAAUCAAGGGAAGUAAAAAUGGAUGACAUAUACAUAUACAACAUGUACACCUUGUCUCUUUUAUUAGCCACAUUUCAGAUUAAGCAACGCCGAGGACGGCUUUAUUUUCAAGAAGGGGAGGAUGAUGAGGACAUGACUACCUUGUAUAUGACCAAAAAUAUUGCAUAUAUGCAUAUUUGUCAGGUGAUUUCUAGUGCAAACUAUUCAAUAAUCUAUUUAUGUUAUCCAGAACAAAAAUACUUCACACACUUUUGUGUUUUGUCUAAUUGCAGGUGUAUGGGACAUUUGUACAAUCCACAUAUGAAGAUAAGGAAGAAAGAGAUGUUUAUUUGCUGUCCAAAAAGUUCUCUCACGUCACUUUUGGCCCAAGAGAAGAUAGAGUCCAAGUCUCUCACGUUCUGGAUUCAGAUUCGGACUGCACAGACACACCUGACUCAAAACGCACACAAGUUUUUCAUACGGACUCCGAAUUGAGUGAUUCUUUUUUUGUUGGAAACUAGAUUUCGUGCACUUUCCAACCCAAUUAGAAUCACCUUCAAAUUCGUCCGGAGCAUUGAGUUGUGGACGAAACAAUCUGAUGCUGCAGCAGAAUCCGAGUCAAACUACAAGUCCAAAGGUGUUACAUCACCUCCACUUGGGCCCAUUGGCCUUGUACGACCUAGAUUUAGUUUUAGGCUGCCUUGGGACGUCCUCCCACCUCCUUGGCCUCCACCCCUUGCUCCUAUAUAAGUAGAUCCAUCUAGUAGCUUUUCCUUGGGUUUUGUUUACAUUAAAGGUUCGCCAUAGCUGCAACUUCGCGUACUUCGUUUGUGUUCAACGACCAGACAAAGGCGUCACAGAACCCCACCUUGAUCAAUAAAGCUUUCAUCUUAUAUUCGCAAUAUCCAGAUUGCAAUCUCAGUUUCUUGCUUGUUCUUCGUUUGCUCGCAGGAAACAGACCCUCGUGGUCAGGUUGAUCGUGCUCCGGCGUGGUCAAUAACCUCUCGGAGUUGGUUUAGCGAUUGCUAAGGCGCGACGUCCUCGCACGUUCGUAGUCGGAUCGUCAAAGUCGACUGCCACCAAAGCGAUAUCCAUCAUCUCAUCGAAAGACGGGACACCUUUGCCUCUAUCAUAUGCCAUUGCAACUUUCACUGAUUCAAGAAAUGCCAUUACAAAAACAUGACUUAGAUACGUGCCACUCCAUCUUUAUCAUACUUGUACUUAUGCCAUUUUCUACAAUUAAGAGAAUAACCCUUCAAACAAUACAUGUAUUUUAGUUUGUACUGUGGUAUUUGCCAUAAUACCCCUAUUUUCAACUUUUGGCAGAACUUUUGGGUCUUUCGGGCGGCAAAAAUUUCGAACAUGUCAUUUUAAAAAAAAAACUUACAGAAAAUUAAAAACACUAAUAUGGGUCUACUAUUCUAAUAUGAACAUUUUUUGAAUUUGCGAACAAAUUUUGAAAACUGUAGCAUUUAUGAAUAUGUGAACAAAUUUGGAUACAGGAACAUUUUUUAGAAUUCCCAAACAUUUUUUAAUUUGUGAACAAAAACAAAACAUGCCAACAUUUUUUGAAUUUGUGAACAAAUUCUGAUAGAUGAUUUUUUGGAAUAUGUGAACAAAUUUUGAAAGAGAAAACAUUUUUCUAAUUUGUGAACAAAAUUGGAAAACGGGAAGAAAAUUUGAAAUUCCUGAAGAAAAUUUAAUGAACAAAAUUUGGAAACAGAACAUUUCUUUGAAAUUCCCAAACAUUUUUUAUUUUGUGAACAAACUUUAAAAGUGUGAAUUUUUUUUGAAUCGCGAACAAAUUUUGAAAUUGGAAACUUUUUGUUUACAGUAGUUUUUUUGGAUUUCCAUGUACUUUUUUUAGUUAGUAACUUUUUACAAAAACCAAGAACAUUAUUAGAACUUAGGAACUUUUUUUGCCUCCCAAGAACAUUAUUUGGAUUUCCAAGGACUUUAUCUGAGUUUGCGAACGUUUUUGAAAUCCCAAAAACAUUAUAUGAAUCGAUGAACAUAUUUUUCAUAUCCAAGAAAAUUAUUUGAAUUAAAGAACAAAUUUUGGAUUUCCAAUAACAUUAUUUGAGUUUACGAACAUUUUUUGGAAUCCAAAGAACAUUAUUUGAAUUGAGGAACAUUUUUUGACUUCCAAGAACAUUUUUUGAGUUAAACAACUUUGUUUGAGUUGAUAAACAUGUUUGGAAAUCCCAAGAAUAUUAUUUGAAUUGAGGAACAAUUUUUUGACUUCCAAGAACAUUACUGAUAAAGAACAUUUUCUGCAUUUCUAAGAACUUUAUUUGGAUUGACAAACAUUUUUUUGAAAUUCCAAGAGACAUUAUUUGAAUGGAUUUUUUUUAUUUAGGAACACCUCUUGUAAUUCCAAUAGCUUUCUUUGGAUUGACGAACAUUUUAUGAAACUCCAAGAACAAUAUUUGGACUGACGACCAUUUUUUUAAAUUCCAUGAACAUUAUUUAAAUCAAAGAACAAUUUUUUGAAUUUAUGAACAAUUUUAAAAUUCCUAUUGUAUGAAUUGAAAUACAUUAUUUGAACAAUAGAAUUUUUUGACUUCAACUGUAUGAGUAUAAGGACAGUGGUUUGUAAGGAAAUUUUUUGUUACAAUCAUUUGCUUUUGACUUCUACUGUAUGGAAAUCAAUCAUCAUUGGAGUAAUUUUGAAGGUGUUUUUGUGCCUAUAAUUUUUUUCUCUUCCAUUCAUCCCCUCUGUAGAUAGAAAACAAACAUACAACAAGUGUUAAGUUCUUGGUUUUGUUCAAUGGUGUGUAGCUGGGCCUCAUAUAUGUAAAAUAUUUUGGCCAGAUGGGAGGCUGCGGCAACCGUUCACCUCUAUGCAAUUCGACCACGAAGAAGAAUACAACCAAGUUAGUCAGUUACAAUGUUGUUUCAUUGUCCAGCCAACAAUUCUUUAUUUCAUUCGAAUGGAGAGAAAAUGUAUGUGAGCCGAAACUGAGAGCUAUCGUCUGUAUGCCCGAUGUAUUGUUAUGUAUGUACAAACUCAAAACUUGUAAUUCGUUCUGUAAGGCAAGAAUGUCAUUUGUAAUAGAGGAAGUUGCACAUUAUUUAUUUAGCAUGUUUGGAAAGUUGGAAAAUGCAGAAAUGUCUACAUACUGUGCCCGGGAAGGGAUUGUUGGUUUGUUAGUUUCU